rnacentral:rRNA from 1 species
ACACGCAUGACACACUGCAUAUCAAUAAGCGGAGGAAAAGAAACUAACAAGGAUUCCCUUAGUAACGGCGAGUGAAGCGGGAAGAGCUCAAAUUUGAAAUCUUCAAGGUUCUACCUUGACGAAUUGUAGUUUAUAGAAGUGUUUUCUGUUAGUGGAGUGGCAAAAGUUCUUUGGAAUAGGACAUCAUAGAGGGUGAGAAUCCCGUAUUUGGUCAUUCCUCCUAGCGUUGUGAUACACUUUCAACGAGUCGGAUUGUUUGGGAAUGCAGUCCAAAAUGGGUGGUAAAUUUCAUCUAAAGCUAAAUAUUGGCGAGAGACCGAUAGCGAACAAGUACCGUGAGGGAAAGAUGAAAAGAACUUUGAAAAGAGAGUUAAACAGUACGUGAAAUUGUCAAAAGGGAAGCGUUUGACACCAGUGUUGUUUUUCCGGAAAAUCAAUUACGAAUGUUUUAUUUUUGAGAGUUAUGACUUCAUCGGCUUGCUUCCUCUCUUUAUGAAACUUUCUUAAUGCACUUUUCGGUUAACAAGUCAACAUCAAUUUCUUUUGUUGUAAAAGGGUAUGAGGAAGGUGGCUCUCUUUUCGGAGAAAGUGUUUAUAGCCUUGUACCUCUGCAAUCGGAGAGAUUGAGGUCUGCAGCGUAGAUCCUUCGGGGUUAGAUACAUUUGUGCUAAGUUAUAGCUUUUCAUAGACAACUUGUUGACUAUGUUAGUCUUGUAGCUUACUCGCUUAUGCUAUUUUACCUACGCUUAGGAUGUUGAAGACUCUACAGAGAUA